AGGGAAUCUUCCACAAUGGACGCAAGUCUGAUGGAGCAACGCCGCGUGAGUGAAGAAGGUUUUCGGACCGUAAAGCUCUGUUGUUGGUGAAGAAGGAUAGAGGUAGUAACUGGCCUUUAUUUGACGGUAAUCAACCAGAAAGUCACGGCUAACUACGUGCCAACAGCCGCGGUAAUACGUAGGUGGCAAGCGUUGUCCGGAUUUAUUGGGCGUAAAGCGAGCGCAGGCGGAAGAAUAAGUCUGAUGUGAAAGCCCUCGGCUUAACCGAGGAAUUGCAUCGGAAACUGUUUUUCUUGAGUGCAGAAGAGGAGAGUAGAACUCCAUGUGUAGCGGUGGAAUGCGUAGAUAUAUGGAAGAAUACCAGUGGCGAAGGCGGCUCUCUGGUCUGCAACUGACGCUGAGGCUCGAAAGCAUGGGUAGCGAACAGGAUUAGAUACCCUGGUAGUCCAUGCCGUAAACGAUGAGUGCUAAGUGUUGGGAGGCUUCCGCCUCUCAGUGCUGCAGCUAACGCAUUAAGCACUCCGCCUGGGGGAGUACGACCGCAAGGUUGAAAC
rnacentral:rRNA from 1 species